GAUGAACGCUGGCGGCGUGCCUAAUACAUGCAAGUCGAGCGAACAGACGAGGAGCUUGCUCCUCUGACGUUAGCGGCGGACGGGUGAGUAACACGUGGAUAACCUACCUAUAAGACUGGGAUAACUUCGGGAAACCGGAGCUAAUACCGGAUAAUAUAUUGAACCGCAUGGUUCAAUAGUGAAAUACGGUUUUUCUGUCACUUAUAGAUGGAUCCGCGCCGCAUUAGCUAGUUGGUAAGGUAACGGCUUACCAAGGCAACGAUGCGUAGCCGACCUGAGAGGGUGAUCGGCCACACUGGAACUGAGACACGGUCCAGAGUCCUACGGGAGGCAGCAGUAGGGAAUCUUCCGCAAUGGGCGAAAGCAUGACGGAGCAACGCCGCGUGAGUGAUGAAGGUCUUCGGAUCGUAAAACUCUGUUAUUAGGGAAGAAAAAAUGUGUAAGUAACUAUGCACGUCUUGACGGUACCUAAUCAGAAAGCCACGGCUAACUACGUG
rnacentral:rRNA from 1 species